UGUUGAUAAAAGAGAUUCCAGAACAAAUAAAGAUUUCUACAGUAAAAGCUGGGGAGGUGGGUAGGGCUCCAGGCUUUGGGCUAACAGCUUGGCUCUACAUUCCUUGCUGGAGAAAUCCAAGCCUCACAAAAGACCGCUUUUAAAGGAGAAACUCUUUUUUUUCCCCUUGAAGAACUAGAUUAAACUAAGAUCCUUUGCCAGUAAAAAGACAACAAUAGAAAAUACCUCCAGAUUAAGAAUCCCAACCAAGCUUUCAACGAAUUUACUUGCUUCAGCUCUAGGAGAACAGUUAUGACAUGAUGCUAAAUACAUCAGUGAGGAACCAGAGGACUCUGGGGAUGAACUUGCUGUACUGGCUGCACCGCUCUGGGAUGCCGAGACUCCUCACUGAAGUUACAUGGG